rnacentral:rRNA from 1 species
CUCAUACAUGCAAGUCGAACGAGGUCUUCGGGCCUAGUGGCGCACGGGUGAGUAACAUGUGGGAAUCUGCCUAAAGGUUCGGAAUAACUGCGGGAAACUGUAGCUAAUACCGGAUGUGUCUGCAAAGAGAAAGAUUUAUCGCCUUUAGAUGAGCCCGCACUAGAUUAGCUAGUUGGUGAGGUAAUUGCUCCACCAAGGCUACGAUCUAUAGCUGAUUUGAGAGGAUGAUCAGCCACACUGGGACUGAGACACGGCCCAGACUCCUACGGGAGGCAGCAGUAGGGAAUAUUGGACAAUGGGGGAAACCCUGAUCCAGCAAUGCCGCGUGAGUGAAGAAGGCCUUAGGGUUGUAAAACUCUUUCAUCAAUGAUGAUAAUGACAUUAGUUGAAGAAGAAGCUCCGGCUAACUUCGUGCCAGCAGCCGCGGUAAUACGAAGGGGGCUAGCGUUGUUCGGAAUCACUGGGCGUAAAGCGUAUGUAGGCGGAUCAAAAAGUUAGAUGUGAAAUCCCUGGGCUCAACCCAGGAACUGCAUUUAAAACUAGUGAUCUAGAAAUUGGUAAGGGUUAGUAGAAUUUCCAGUGUAGAGGUGAAAUUCGUAGAUAUUGGAAAGAAUACCAGAAGCGAAGGCGACUAACUAAGCCAUUUUUGACGCUGAGAUACGAAAGCGUAGGUAGCAAACAGGAUUAGAUACCCUGGUAGUCCACGCAGUAAACGAUGAGUGCUAGUCGCUGGGACAAUAGUUUCAGUGUCGUAGCUAACGCAUUAAGCACUCCGCCUGGGAAGUACGGUCGCAAGAUUAAAACUCAAAUAAAUUGACGGGGGCCCGCACAAGCGGUGGAGCAUGUGGUUUAUUCGAAGCACGCGAAGAACCUUACCAGACCUUGACAUGUAUGUUUGAUUACAGAAUCGUAUCUCAGUCGCUGCAUACACACAGUGCUGCAUGCUGUCGUCAGCUCGUGUCGUGAGAUGUGGGUAGUCCCGCACGAGGCGCACUCAUUUAGUGCAUCAGUAUGCUGGCACCUAGAAAACUGCGGGGAUAGCUGAAGAAGCGGGAUAAGUCAAGUCUCCAUG